UACGUAGGGUGCAAGCGUUAAUCGGAAUUACUGGGCGUAAAGAGUUGCGUAGGUGGCAUGGUAAGUUGAUAGUGAAAUCCUGGGGCUCAACCCCUUACCCAUUAUCAAAACUGCCAAGCUAGAGGACAAGAGAGGUCACUGGAAUUCCUAGUGUAGGAGUGAAAUCCGUAGAUAUUAGGAGGAACACCGAUGGCGUAGGCAGGUGACUGGCUUGUUCCUGACACUAAGGCACGAAAGCGUGGGGAGCGAACGGG
rnacentral:rRNA from 1 species